rnacentral:rRNA from 1 species
AGUCGAGCGGUACAUUUCUAGCUUGCUAGAAGAUGACGAGCGGCGGACGGGUGAGUAAUGCUUGGGAACAUGCCUUGAGGUGGGGGACAACAGUUGGAAACGACUGCUAAUACCGCAUAAUGUCUACGGACCAAAGGGGGCUUCGGCUCUCGCCUUUAGAUUGGCCCAAGUGGGAUUAGCUAGUUGGUGAGGUAAUGGCUCACCAAGGCAACGAUCCCUAGCUGGUUUGAGAGGAUGAUCAGCCACACUGGAACUGAGACACGGUCCAGACUCCUACGGGAGGCAGCAGUGGGGAAUAUUGCACAAUGGGCGAAAGCCUGAUGCAGCCAUGCCGCGUGUGUGAAGAAGGCCUUCGGGUUGUAAAGCACUUUCAGUCAGGAGGAAAGGGUGUGAGUUAAUACCUCACAUCUGUGACGUUACUGACAGAAGAAGCACCGGUUAACUCCGUGCCAGCAGCCGCGGUAAUACGGAGGGUGCGAGCGUUAAUCGGAAUUACUGGGCGUAAAGCGUACGCAGGCGGUUUGUUAAGCGAGAUGUGAAAGCCCCGGGCUCAACCUGGGAACUGCAUUUCGAACUGGCAAACUAGAGUGUGAUAGAGGGCGGUAGAAUUUCAGGUGUAGCGGUGAAAUGCGUAAAGAUCUGAAGGAAUACCGAUGGCGAAGGCAGCCACCUGGGUCAACACUUGACCUCAUGUACCAAAGCGGGGGGAGCAAACGGGAUUAGAUACCCCGGGAGUCCCCGCCCGUAAAGAAUGUCUACUAAAAGCCCGG